rnacentral:lncRNA from 1 species
AUCACUUCCGCUGAAAGUUUGCAUCUCCCAGUAUCAGUGUUGGGGAAGCCAAAUGAAAUCUAUCAAUCCCAGUUCAGAAUGUAAAGAAACUGAAGAUCCUCUUUCCCCAUAUGGAUUAUUAUAUCAUCAUAGCAUUUGGAGAAGCCAAGAUCAACAAAAAAGCAGUUAGCAGAAUUGUACAUGGCGAUCAUCAGCAGUAUGAAGAGGAGCUGUGGGGCCAGUGAGAGAAGCUGCAGCCUGUUGAGACUCCACAAGACUGAAGAUAUGAAAAGAGGAAAUAUGCAUGAAUGCCCGCACGGAGAACCACCCCCACCUGCUGCUCCCGCUCUAAUGAUCACGCCCAUUAUCAACUGGGGGAUGGCUCUGUGCCUUGUCCUUGCAUUACAUGGACCAAGAACACUUCACAGGACUCAGAGAGGCAAAAAUAGAUACAAAAGAAGAAGGAAUUACAGAAGAAGUCACAUAACAUUAUUGCCUACAACUGACUGUUUACCUUGAAUACUUGAAGACCAGAAUGAAGAUUCUUGGGGUGAAGAAUUACAGCCUUAGCAUGGAGCAGGCCUCGGUGCAUCGGCUUUCAGCUAGGCAUGCCUGCCAAUGUUCAACGUCCUCCUGGGAUACGGAAGGCACCGUGAUAGACAUCUGGGCAAGUCAACAGGAAGGUGGAUAUCCAAAUCUCUCUCUUCGCAAUGAGUUUCCAGUUAGAUGGAGGAGAGAGUAAUAAAACACAGAGCUGAGAUUCCUGACUUCACAGAUCCCUGAGGAGAUGUUUACUAAAGGGAAUCUUCUGGUCACUGUUACCUUCCUCCGUACUUACCUGCCUCAUGGAUAACACUGAAGAAUGCAGUUUACUUACAUCUUUUUCUGUUUGACAGAAGACAGUUAUUAGUUACCCUUGGGACAUCAAAAUGACCAAGGCAGUGUCUGCUAAGUAUUUGCUGAGACUCUGCUAUGAUUCUUUCAAGUCUAAAGACAGUUAUCUGAAUGAUAUCCCCGUGACAGUGGACUCCUGCACAUUCACAGUCCUGGAAGGAGCCUGUCCACAUUGGCAUUCUGGAAGUCCAUAAAAGACAAACGCAUAUGCAGUCCCCGAGAAAGCAUUGUUGUAAACAAAUCUGCACUAGAUGGAAACUCUGUUAUGUGGUGCCGGCAUGCAUGGAAGAGAACCCGAAAGGAAGAAGCUAUACGACUGGGGACACAUGUCUUAGAAGCACACUCAUUAGAUAAAGUGUCGCAUACUCUUUGAUAAGACAACCCUUACAAGAUUUUUGCCCAGCGAAAGUGGCACGUGGAACAUGGAAUGACAUUUCAUAAAGAUAAAUCCAGAGAUUAGUGCUGAAGACUACACCCCUGUGUAGUCCCACACAGGCUACCCCAGACCAGCCUGGCGGGCUCUGCACUAGGCCUCCCAUCAGGCGAGAGCCAACGCUCCUCAGCCCGGCUCCACCUCAUUCAGAAGAAAGUGUGUCUCCCGG